AGAGUUUGAUCAUGGCUCAGGACGAACGCUGGCGGCGUGCCUAAUACAUGCAAGUAGAACGCUGAAGAGAGGAGCUUGCUCUUCUUGGAUGAGUUGCGAACGGGUGAGUAACGCGUAGGUAACCUGCCUUGUAGCGGGGGAUAACUAUUGGAAACGAUAGCUAAUACCGCAUAACAAUGGAUGACACAUGUCAUUUAUUUGAAAGGGGCAAUUGCUCCACUACAAGAUGGACCUGCGUUGUAUUAGCUAGUAGGUGAGGUAACGGCUCACCUAGGCGACGAUACAUAGCCGACCUGAGAGGGUGAUCGGCCACACUGGGACUGAGACACGGCCCAGACUCCUACGGGAGGCAGCAGUAGGGAAUCUUCGGCAAUGGGGGCAACCCUGACCGAGCAACGCCGCGUGAGUGAAGAAGGUUUUCGGAUCGUAAAGCUCUGUUGUAAGUCAAGAACGAGUGCGAGAGUGGAAAGUUCACACUGUGACGGUAGCUUACCAGAAAGGGACGGCUAACUACGUGCCAGCAGCCGCGGUAAUACGUAGGUCCCGAGCGUUGUCCGGAUUUAUUGGGCGUAAAGCGAGCGCAGGCGGUUUGAUAAGUCUGAAGUUAAAGGCUGUGGCUCAACCAUAGUUCGCUUUGGAAACUGUCAAACUUGAGUGCAGAAGGGGAGAGUGGAAUUCCAUGUGUAGCGGUGAAAUGCGUAGAUAUAUGGAGGAACACCGGUGGCGAAAGCGGCUCUCUGGUCUGUAACUGACGCUGAGGCUCGAAAGCGUGGGGAGCGAACAGGAUUAGAUACCCUGGUAGUCCACGCCGUAAACGAUGAGUGCUAGGUGUUGGAUCCUUUCCGGGAUUCAGUGCCGCAGCUAACGCAUUAAGCACUCCGCCUGGGGAGUACGACCGCAAGGUUGAAACUCAAAGGAGUUGACGGGGGCCCGCACAAGCGGUGGAGCAUGUGGUUUAAUUCGAAGCAACGCGAAGAACCUUACCAGGUCUUGACAUCCCGAUGCUAUUUCUAGAGAUAGAAAGUUACUUCGGUACAUCGGUGACAGGUGGUGCAUGGUUGUCGUCAGCUCGUGUCGUGAGAUGUUGGGUUAAGUCCCGCAACGAGCGCAACCCCUAUUGUUAGUUGCCAUCAUUCAGUUGGGCACUCUAGCGAGACUGCCGGUAAUAAACCGGAGGAAGGUGGGGAUGACGUCAAAUCAUCAUGCCCCUUAUGACCUGGGCUACACACGUGCUACAAUGGUUGGUACAACGAGUUGCGAGUCGGUGACGGCAAGCUAAUCUCUUAAAGCCAAUCUCAGUUUGGAUUGUAGGCUGCAACUCGCCUACAUGAAGUCGGAAUCGCUAGUAAUCGCGGAUCAGCACGCCGCGGUGAAUACGUUCCCGGGCCUUGUACACACCGCCCGUCAA
rnacentral:rRNA from 1 species